UCAAGAAGAGCGAAAUUCGGGAGUAGAUCGGGGAAAAGAAAAAGUAAAGGACUAAAUUGUAAAGUUUAGUCACAUUUUGUAUCGAGUACUUAUCUAGCCACUCGGGGAUCGAAGGAAACGUCGGAGGCCGAUCACACUAUCAAAGAAAUAACUCGGUAUAAUUAGAUGUUUUGUUUUGUGUAUGGCAUGUAUAGAAACUUAGCUACUUUUGGUAUAAUAUGAACAAUGAAUGA